rnacentral:rRNA from 1 species
UUUAUCGGAGAGUUUGAUCCUGGCUCAGGACGAACGCUGGCGGCGUGCCUAAUACAUGCAAGUCGAGCGGACAGAUGGGAGCUUGCUCCCUGAUGUUAGCGGCGGACGGGUGAGUAACACGUGGGUAACCUGCCUGUAAGACUGGGAUAACUCCGGGAAACCGGGGCUAAUACCGGAUGCUUGUUUGA